rfam:Eubacterium limosum KIST612, complete genome.
UACCUAUCCAGAGAGGUGGAGGGACAGGCCCGAUGAAACCCGGCAACCAGCAUAAGCAUGGUGCCAAUACCUGCAGUUAAACUGUAAUGAUGGGGU